rnacentral:rRNA from 1 species
ACGCUCGACACCUAGGAGGCAGCAGUGGGGAAUAUUGCACAAUGGGGGAAACCCUGAUGCAGCGACGCCGCGUGAGUGAAGAAGUAUUUCGGUAUGUAAAGCUCUAUCAGCAGGGAAGAAGAUGACGGUACCUGAGUAAGAAGCCCCGGCUAACUACGUGCCCGCAGCCGCGGUAAUCUGAGCGGGCUGGCAAGGC